rnacentral:lncRNA from 1 species
CCUUCAGCUGUUCCGCUUCCCCCAGUUAGAGCCAAUAACGAGGCGGCUUUGUACGACUGUAUUUCAUGACUGGAGGCAUGGGAGGACGCUUACUUGCCACUCGCGUAGGAGCAGCCAGGUGGCUACUUGUGUGAUGUCCAAAGUUUUUUGGAGACAUCUGCCUCCCUUGGAGGAGAGCAAGCUUACCUCGCAUCACUCGCUUCAGAAACUGAUUCUAUCCUUAU